rnacentral:lncRNA from 1 species
AUCAUCGACAUCAUCGAAACUCCUUUCGAUGGACCAGAACUCUUCUGAUUCAGAUAAUUAGAAUGAUCGAUCAUCAAAAUCAUUCUAAUUGCUCCCAAAAUCCACCAGUGACACCUAGCAGUAUAUGAUGGCAAUCCAUCAGAAUUGAAGAUGAACCUCUUGGUGCAGCUACCUGUGUGAUUGAGUUUCUCUAUCAUGAGUCCCGACUGAAUUAGGGUUAAGGUGAACUCGUCAAACCCAACAUCAGACAUAUGAAUCAAUCGAUCGAUCCGAGUUCGA